rnacentral:rRNA from 1 species
UACAGAGGGUGCGAGCGUUAAUCGGAAUUACUGGGCGUAAAGCGCGCGUAGGCGGCUUUGUAAGUCGGAUGUGAAAUCCCCGGGCUUAACCUGGGAACUGCAUUCGAGACUGCAUAGCUAGAGUAUGGGAGAGGGAAGUGGAAUUUCAGGUGUAGCGGUGAAAUGCGUAGAUAUCAGGAGGAACACCUAUGGCGAAGGCAGCUCGCUGGGACGGUAUUGACGCUGAGACGCGAAAGCGUGGGGAGCGAACAGG